rnacentral:rRNA from 1 species
GUGGGGAAUAUUGGACAAUGGGCGAAAGCCUGAUCCAGCCAUGCCGCGUGUGUGAAGAAGGUCUUCGGAUUGUAAAGCACUUUAAGUUGGGAGGAAGGGCAUUAACCUAAUACGUUAGUGUUUUGACGUUACCGACAGAAUAAGCACCGGCUAACUUCGUGCCAGCAGCCGCGGUAAUACGAAGGGUGCAAGCGUUAAUCGGAAUUACUGGGCGUAAAGCGCGCGUAGGUGGUUCAGUAAGUUGGAUGUGAAAUCCCCGGGCUAAACCUGGGAACUGCAUCCAAAACUGCUGAGCUAGAGUACGGUAGAGGGUGGUGGAAUUUCCUGUGUAGCGGUGAAAUGCGUAGAUAUAGGAAGGAACACCAGUGGCGAAGGCGACUACCUGGACUGAUACUGACACUGAGGUGCGAAAGCGUGGGGAGCAAACAGGAUUAGAAACCCUAGUAGUCC